GAACCUGAGACUUUUUUAAUUUGGAAGACAUUGGAGAGGGAGAAAGGGACGUGGACACGGAUGAUCCCUUUGGCCCCUGCUACCUCUCAGAGGGAAAGAAAGGGAGCUGGUUGCUGGGCAUGUUGCAUUUGAGAAUGGGCAUUCUAUCAAUGGACAAGAGUGAUGUUACAAUUUCCAGCUGUGACUGUAAAACACUGUGAGUUUCUGUUUCAUAUGUUUUAAAGUUCUCGUAUUAGGCACGUAAACCUCCGUAAUUGUAUUUGUUCCUGAUAAAUUGAACAUUUUAUCAUUAUGAAAUACUACUUAUUACCUCUGGAAAUAUUUUUCUUUCAAAGAAUCGGUUGCCUGUGAUAUUAACAUAGCCAUCUCAGCCUUCUUAAGGUUGCUGUAAACAUGAGUUUUUCUGUAGACUUGUUUUCAACUUGUCUCUGUCUUUGUAUUUAAAGGGAAUCAAUGAGAGAUAGCAGAUAGUCAAGUCUUUCAUGUUUUUUUAAUCCUUUCUGAUAAUCACUGACUUUUAAUUGGAGUGCUUAGUCCAUUAAUAUUUAAUGUGAUUAUUGAUACAGUUGUGAUUUAGUUCUGCCCUUUUGCUUUCCAUUUUCUGUUACUUGUUUCUAUUUUUUAGUUAUUUAUUUCCUACAUUCUACUUGAUUACUGCAGUAUUAUUAGAAUUGUUUUAAUGUUACAAUAAGCUUUCCAACUUCACCUUUUACAUUAAUUUUUAGUAGUGGUUCUAGGGAUUAUAAUAUACAUUUUUAAUUUUUCUGUGUAUUUACUGUCAAUACUGUACCAUUUCACAUUUGAUGUAGAAAAUUUCUAACCACCUUUGUGUUACAGUUACAUAUAUCACAAAUACAUAACAUUGUAACCCCCCGGAGACAUAAUAAUGUUUGUUUUAAAUCA
rnacentral:lncRNA from 1 species